rnacentral:rRNA from 1 species
UACGUAGGGUGCAAGCGUUAAUCGGAAUUACUGGGCGUAAAGCGUGCGCAGGCGGUUGUGCAAGACAGAUGUGAAAUCCCCGGGCUUAACCUGGGAAUUGCAUUUGUGACUGCACGGCUAGAGUGUGUCAGAGGGGGGUAGAAUGCCACGUGUAGCAGUGAAAUGCGUAGAGAUGUGGAGGAAUACCGAUGGCGAAGGCAGCCCCCUGGGAUAACACUGACGCUCAUGCACGAAAGCGUGGGGAGCAAACAGG